UCCCUCAAAGCAAUGAAGUAACUGUAUUAAAAUUGGGAUGAUACAAAGGAGAUGAGUGUAGCUCCUUCACAAGGAUGACAUAAAAGUUUCUCAGGUAUUCCCUACUUUU
ensembl:snRNA U6 U6 spliceosomal RNA